GACAAGCUCCUGUACAGAUUGCAGCGGGCAUGCAAUGCCUUCCUCUUGAUCUUGAUUACUUACAGUUUGUCUGCACCAUUGAGAUGAUAUUUAUCAGCUCACUAGCAAAUCAAGUACACUUGCCUCAAGAGGUGUGCAGGGUCUCUCCAAUCUGUAUAGUCUAGUCAAUGCUGAAAUGGAAGAAGGAAAUGCCCCAUCAGUUGUUGUUGAUGGCAAAAUGGGACGUCUUAAACUGACUGUUUCAGAACAGCACCUUCGACAGCUGAUUGAAAUGGAUCUGCCUGUACCUUGCAUCGCCAAACUGCUUGUCACCUCAACACAAACUGACCAACUCAGAAUGCAGGAAUACAGUAUUGUGGUAGACGAGGAGCUGGACAAUCUGCUGGCCACAAUCAAGACAAGUUCACCACAAUUAGGAUGGUGUGAGAACUUCUGAAAGCAAUGGGUCAUCAAGUCCAGUGGACCCGAGUGUGGGACUCAGUGCUUCGUGUAGAUGCUGCAGGAAUACAGGAAAGAGUGGCAGGACUUGGAUGUGUUGUCAGAAGAACAUACUCUGUUCAGGCUCCUCUUUCUGUCAUACACGUGGACACCAACGACAAGAUGAUCAGAUAUGGUUUUGUAAUAUUUGGUGGCAUAGACGGCUUCUCAAGAAAGAUCAUGUACCUCGGUGCAGCAACCAACAACAAAGCAUCAACCGCCCUUGGAUUCUUCCUAGACUGUAGCGAAGCAAGGCUUUCCAUUGAGGUGAGAGCAGACCAAGGCGUGGAGAAUGUGGACAUCGCAACAUGCAUGUUUCAUGUCUGUGGUUGUGGCAGGGGAAGCUUUAUCUCUGGUAAAAGUGUUCACGAUCAGUCAUUUCCACCACUAUUUGUUUGUGCUGAAUACAUAGAUUAUGACCACAUAAUAUUGAAAUGUGAUCUGUUCUAUACAUUCUAGAGUAUAGUUAGGCAGGUGGCCUACACCUAAAUUAUAAUCCCUGCACUGAGUAGAGAUAACAAACUGUGCUGUUUCAUGUAUAACUGGUAUUUCAAUACUUUGCAAAGGAGUGCCUUAUGUAGACUAGCCUACAUUGCGUGAAGCUGUUGUAUCAGCAAGCUGUUGUCUAGAGCGCAGGUACCAAGACCAGAGUGGGUCUCUAACGCAAACAUUUGUGACAACUAUCCGUAGAGUUGAAAAUGUAAAUGAUUUUGUGUACACUAUGUCAUCACACACUGAUUUUGGAUCUUCAACAAGUCUGUUUGGUAGAAAACACCACUAUUAGGAAAAUGUGCAUAUUAUCUUUACCCAGACUUCAGAAUAUUCACAUAAAAAAUCUGUAGCCAAUUGGAUGGAAACCUAGCUAUAGAAUCCAAUGUCAAUUCAAUCUCUCACAUGCAUUGAAGAAAACAGUUCAAUUCAACAGGAGACGGUGAAGUAGAAAUGCAAAGUACCUUAGAAUACUUUGACCAAUUACAUCUCCUUAUGCACAGAAAGGUUACAAUAAUAGUAAUAACUUGUGUAGGACAGAGGACUGGGUAUGAUGUUCAAUGUUUCAUUAUGUUGCUUCAAAUGUUCUCUCAUAUGCUUUCAGGUUUGAACAGUUAUGGCAGGACUUGUAGAUGGCCAUGCCAAACAUAUUUGACAGGUCAAGGGAGCCCUCAUCUUCCAAACUGUGUAGGACAUUGUAAAACAGCCUUCACUUAUUCUGUGUGCACUAUGUAUUCCUUCCACGCCUCCAAGCAGACCUAGACACCUUAACCAAUGGAUGGGAUAAACAUUCUCUGCACACCGAGCAAAAUCUGACCCCCUACCAGCUAUGGGAAAUGGGACAAGCAGAGAAUCCUUUCACCUUCCCCGGCAAUGUGGAAGUAUAGAUUUAAAGUAUCCACUAUGAAAAUGUAAUUAAGUAUUAUCUAAAAAAAAUAAAAAAUGAGUUGUUUGUAAAUUAACAUGAUCUUCCAUGUUCAGGAUUUAAACAACUGUCUGCCUGUCGGAGGGGCAUGGCCAGGGAAUUUUGGUCCCACCAGUGGAGUGCCCGCUGACAGAGCAGGAUAUGACACUGCUCAGAGCAGCCAUCGACCCAACCUCACCAUCGAGACUAUGGACAAGAUAUUUAUGCAUCUGUUUUGAACUACGUGCUGCUACUUAUGGCUGAAUGAUCCUUACACUUCUGCUGAUACUGUCUCAAGGAAUAACCGUCUAGUCCAGUAAUUCUAAAAUGCUGCAAUGUUAUGUAAUGUGGUCGCAGUAAAAUUAUAACAAUUGGUUCAUUUUGAUUGGCCACUAGUGUUGUGGAACAUUUUAGCCAACGAUUAAGGCAGCAACUAUAUAAUUGCAUAAUAGAUCAAUCUUUAAUCAAGCAGCUGCAGGGGAGAUCUGAUUUCACAGGGAAGUACUCGAGGAGUAAAUGGUGACAUGUCCGGUGUUAUAGUGGGAGGUGAUCAGUUAAUGAUAUUGUUACAAAACAGUGAUUUUAUUCAAGCAACAGUUCCAGAACACAAUGGCCUUGUUUUAGUGUGCAGACAUACCAGGAGUCUAUGAAAGGCAUGCCAUCAGUCUAACACAGA